UGUUUCGGCAAGGGGGUCAUCCCGACUUACCAACCCGAUGCAAACUGCGAAUACCGGAGAAUGUUAUCACGGGAGACACACGGCGGGUGCUAACGUCCGUCGUGAAGAGGGAAACAACCCAGACCGCCAGCUAAGGUCCCAAAGUCAUGGUUAAGUGGGAAACGAUGUGGGAAGGCCCAGACAGCCAGGAUGUUGGCUUAGAAGCAGCCAUCAUUUAAAGAAAGCGUAAUAGCUCACUGGUCGAGUCGGCCUGCGCGGAAGAUGUAACGGGGCUAAACCAUGCACCGAAGCUGCGGCAGCGACG
rnacentral:rRNA from 1 species